rnacentral:rRNA from 1 species
AUCUUGUGCCAGCCACCGCGGUCAUACAAGGGACCCAAAUUAACCGUAUGCGGCGUAAAGAGUGGUGUCAUGAUAUCAUAGUAACUAGGAUUAAAGCGUAGCUGAGCUGUCAUAAGCCCAUGAUGCACCUAAGCCCACCCUAAAGAUGAUCCUAGCACCCACGAUCAAUUGCACCCCACGAAAGCUAAGGCCCAAACUGGGAUUAGAUACCCCACUAUGCUUAGCCCUAAAUCUCGGUGCUUGCUUCACUAAAGCACCCGCCUGAGGACUACGAGCGCAAACGCUUGAAACUCUAAGGACUUGGCGGUGCCCCAAACCCACCUAGAGGAGCCUGUUCUAUAAUCGAUAAUCCACGAUACACCCGACCGCCCCUCGCCAAGGCAGCCUACAUACCGCCGUCGCCAGCUCACCUCACUUGAGAGCACAUCAGUGAGCACAAUAGCCCAACCCGCUAGCAAGACAGGUCAAGGUAUAGCCAAUGGGAGCGGAAGAAAUGGGCUACAUUUUCUAGGCUAGAAAACCUUUACGAAAGGGCGUGUGAAACCACGCCCGGAAGGCGGAUUUAGCAGUAAAGCGGGACAAUAGAGCCCUCUUUAAGUUGGCCCUGGAGCACGUACAUACCGCCCGUCACCCUCCUCACAAGCUGCAGACUAAUAUAAUUAAUACACUAACUAGCCGAAGAUGAGGUAAGUCGUAACAAGGUAAGUGUACCGGAAGGUGCACUUAGCAUAC